rnacentral:misc_RNA from 1 species
UUGACAUCAAUCUGGUACGAGGGUCUUCCGGGAUGGAGGAAGAGAAAUGGCCUGACCAAGUUUUUGCUGUGUAUGGGACUGAUCCUAAUUGCUCCAUUCAUGGCGGUGUAUUAUCUCAUAUUCCCAUGCAGUAAGAUAGGACAACUACUGCGCAGUCCUUUCAUGAAGUUUCUGUAUCACAGCACUUCUUUUGGUGUGUUCCUGGUUUUGUUAGUGCUGUGCUCCACCAACAUCAGUAACCCCAAUGACAGGGGAAAUACCAGGGGACCCCCUCCCUCGGAACUGGAGUGGCUUAUUUUCCUAUGGGUGAUGGGCUUUGUUUGGGCUGAGUGCAAACAGCUGUGGGAUGAAGGUCUAAAAGCAUACACAAGACAGUGGUGGAACUGGCUGGACUUUAUGAUGCUAUCACUUUAUCUAGCAACAUUUUCUUUAAGAUUUGUUGCAUAUGUUCAAAUUGAAUCGGGUAGAUAUGGUGACAGAGAGAUUCCUAGAAAAGAUUGGCCCAUUGUAGACCCUACUCUGCUAGCAGAGGGACUGUUUGCAGUGGCCAAUGUGUUUAGCUUUUCUCGAAUCAUAUACCUGGCUCAGGCUAAUCAGCAUCUUGGACCCCUCCAGAUAUCGCUGGGCUGUAUGUUGAUAGAUAUCGGGAAGUUCCUGUUUAUAUUCUUUCUGGUCCUAACCUCCUUUGCCUGUGGAAUGACUCAGCUCUACUGGUAUUAUUACAAGAGCCGUGUUCCUGAGGAUCCAGUGGCAUUUGUGUCAACCAUGCAGACAUGGAGUGGAAGUUCUCUCGCUCCAAGCUAUGGAUGGGUUACUUUGACGAGGGAUCCACCCUUCCUUCCCCCUUCAAUCUGAUCAUUAGCCCCAAGUCCAUCUAUUAUGCUGCAUCCUUCUUCAAAAACUUCCUCAGUUCCUGCAUCAACAAAAGCCGACCCUUAACCAGAUCGAAGCGACGAACCUCCAUUAGCAGUGUAAAGCCUGUUCCUACAACAUUACCUAUACGAGACUUUGUGGAAAUUAACACGACAGAGGCUGUGAUUCAGACAAGGAUAAAUAUAAAAUCAGAGAGCCUGCCUCAGGAGAUCAAGUACCAGCCUCCACUACAAAACCAGACAAGUAUCAGAUCUAAUGAUGAAAACCAUUAUCAGGACAUUAUGAGGAGACUGGUGAGCCGGUACAUCCAUCAAUUUAAGAAGGACAGACAGCUGGACGGAGUGAAUGAGGACGACCUGUUAGAGAUCAAACAAGACAUCUCAAGUCUCAGAUUUGAGUUAAGAGCCGACAGAAAAAGAGAAUCUUGCCUAGCUGUCUCUUUGUUGCAAAGUACGAAACAAGAAAUCCUGUCCAUCAUACAGGAGUUUAACAGGGCCAGCUACCCACAGCAAACAGUGGGGUAUCAAGGUCAUAGUCCCCAGAGUAAUUCCCAGGUCAGAGGGCAUAUCAGUGACAGGGGUCAUAUGUUGUCUUCUAAUGACCUUGAGCAGUUGAAAGAGGACAUAAUCAGUGGAAUUUGUUCCAGGUUACAGGACAAUUUACAGCCUUUUCAGGGAGUGGAAAGACUACCAUCCAUUGACUCAGAUCUCUACACAACACAUCUGUACACACAACUGUAACUUACAUAGGUUCAUUUAAUUUUGAAUCAUUUUGCACCUUCAUUGUAUAACAUUUCAGCAAAACAAGAGAUUCAGAAUGUUUUUGAUAUCCUUUUUUCACUCCAUGUAAACUUGAAUGUCAAUUGAGACCAAAUUUUUGAAAGAAUUAUAUAUUCAAAUUUUUGUUGUUAGGGCCCAUUAGCAUCCUGUAGCAUUGCUUUUAAUGUUUUCAGAAGAGAAAGAAUAUCAUUGAAAUACAUAGAACUUGCUUUUUCAUGUAAAGAGUAUAUUCCUAUUGUAUGUCUUUGUGUCCUAAGAAAAUAAAAUUGUUAUCCUUAAUUUUUAAUUUUGAUUUGAUAUUCAUGAUUACAUGUAAAAGUUUGAUUUGAUAUUCAUGAUUACAUGUAAAAGUUUAGAUAUUAAAUGGUUAUAUAGUUAUCAUGUACUGUGGUAAAGCUGUGUGUGGACUGUUAUAAACUAGCCACUCAGCUAUGACUUAUAUUUCAAAUAGAGACAUUUUGUGAUAUUGUAGUUGUGAUAAUGUAAUUGUGAUACUGUACCUGUCAUUCCUGGCUCCACUAACUCCUGUACAUUCCAGUGUCUGAUGGGUUGUUUUUCUUUUUCCAACUGUGAAUUGAUGUUUGAAGGACGAAUUCAAUUCAGUGGAAAAAAUAUCCAUUUCCUUGUUUAAGUUUUAUUUUUGGAAGCAAUGUGUCACAAUCAUGAUUGACUGGUGAACUGUGCUAGAAGUGUGUUGAGAGGUGUCUAAAUUUUAGUUUAUAUUUUAUUAUUGAUGCUUUUUGUUUUCUAUCUCAUUAAGAUUUUAAGUGUAGUUUUUAUUGUUUUGUUAAAAAUUGAAUUCGUUUAAACUGUAGCAACAGUAUAACACACUGUCUGAUGCAGGUGAUCAAACGGUCAUCAUGGGGCGACGGCGGUAACGUUAGAAUAUUGUCUGAUACCUGAAUGUCAUCACUCAUGCUUAAAUCAUGUGCCAUAUGUGAUUGUAGUACAUCAAGAACUGAUACCAUUUUGUUUGUAAUUUAUACAAUAAAGAUUUACAGAAAUA